rnacentral:rRNA from 1 species
AUUGAACGCUAGCGGGAUGCUUUACACAUGCAAGUCGAACGAGUGGCGGACGGGUGAGUAAUAUAUCUGAACGUGCCCAGUAGCGGGGGAUAACUACUCGAAAGAGUGGCUAAUACCGCAUACUAUUUGAGCGGCCGAUAUCGGAUUAGCUAGUUGGUGGGGUAAAGGCUCACAAAGGCCACGAUCCGGAUCUGGUUUGAGAGGACGACCAGCAACACAGGAACUGAGACACGGCCCAUACUCCUACGGGAGGCAGCAGUGGGGAAUUUUGGACAAUGGGGGAAACCCUGAUCCAGCCAUACCGCGUGUAUGAGAAGGCCUUCGGGUUGUAAAGUACUUUUGGCAGAGAAGCGGUAUCUGCAGAAUAAGCACCGGCUAACUACGUGCCAGCCGCCGCGGUAAUUC